GACAGAGGAAGACCGGCCACCGCGGACCAUCCGUGAGGAAAGUCCCCCCACCGGUCGUACAGGUGACCAGGUGCAAGCCUGGAGUGGGAGACCACUGGCUCUGAAACAGAAACGACACGUCUCCACCAGACCUAUGAAACGAGCGAACCUCCCCCGUAAGGGUGAGGGAGUUAACCUCCUGAGGGUAGAAGGUGCCAGAUAUUUUCUGGACGUUAGAUAUUCUAUCUAACUUGAGGAUCGAUGGAACGGUGAAACCUCACCGGUGCAAGCCCGUGCCGCAAAAGUAGUACGACCAGGGCCCGGGCGCUUAGCCGAAUGCCGGAGAAAAACAGAAGGGGGCUUACUCUCCUCAGCC
rnacentral:RNase_P_RNA from 1 species